GGGCGAUUAGCUCAGUUGGUUCAGAGCACCUCGUUUACACCGAGGGGGUCGUAGGUUCGAAUCCUUCAUCGCCCACCA
rnacentral:tRNA from 1 species